AGCAAUCUGUGAUGCAAAUUGUUUUUAAGUUCUGAUUAUCAUGUGAUGAUCAUAAACAAUCACCAUCUUUCGGCUGAGGUUGCA
rnacentral:snoRNA from 1 species